AUUGGUCAAUAGCCUAACGGCUGAACCAGCAACUUGAAGAAAUGUACAUUGCAUAAAAUAUUUAAGCAAGAACGUAUUUAUCGUUUAAAGUUUUAGGUAGAAUUAUGAUAAUGACAAUUAACUAUCUAUAAGUCUUGACCAAAUUACGUGCCAGCAGUCGCGGUAAGACGUAAAAGACUAGUGUUAUUCAUCUUUAAUAGGUUUAAAGGGUACCUAGACGGAAAAUAUAGCCAAGUUAAGGUACUUAUUUUCUAGAGUUUUAUGUGAAAAGGAGGGAACUUUUGGAGUAGAGAUGAUAUUUUAUUAUACCAAAAAGACCGGUAACGGCGAAGGCAACCUUUUAUGUAAAAACUGACGUUGAGGGACGAAGGCUUGGGUAAUGAGUAGGAUUAGAUACCCUAGUAGUCCAGGCAGACAAUUAUGAAUGUCAUAGAUUAGAUUAUUUAGUCUAUAAAUGAAAGUGUAAGCAUUCCACCUCAAGAGUAAUGUGGCAACGCAGGAACUGAAAUCAUUAGACCGUUUCUGAAACCAGUAGUGAAGUACGUUAUUUAAUUCGAUAAUCCGCGAAAAACCUUACCACAAUUUGAAUAUUAUUAAUUUAUUACAAGUGCUGCAUGGCUGUUUUCAGUUAAUGUCGUGAGACUCUGGUUCGUUCCUUAAAUUAACGAAAACCCUUGCUUUAUUUGUUUAAAUAAAGUAGUUCUCCGUUAUAUUGGAUAAGAUGAUAGGGAUUAAGACAAGUCAUUAUGGCCUUAAUAUUGUGGGCUA
rnacentral:rRNA from 1 species